rnacentral:rRNA from 1 species
UACAGAGGUCUCAAGCGUUGUUCGGAUUCAUUGGGCGUAAAGGGUGCGUAGGCGGCGCGGUAAGUCGGGUGUGAAAUCUCGGAGCUUAACUCCGAAACUGCAUUCGAUACUGCCGUGCUUGAGGACUGGAGAGGAGACUGGAAUUUACGGUGUAGCGGUGAAAUGCGUAGAUAUCGUAAGGAAGACCAGUGGCGAAGGCGGGUCACUGGUCCGGUACUGACGCUGAGGUGCGAAAGCGUGGGGAGCAAACAGG